UCACCCAGCUCGUCAUGCUAGAGCACUUUUUCAAUGGGCUCCCCAACGACAAGGUGAUGACGCAUUCGUAUGUCAUCCAUAUCCACUUUCGAUGCCACUUUCUGCGCCUACCAUGGUGACCAUGGGUAACGGGGAAUCAGGGUUCGAUUGCGGAGAGGGAGCCUGAGAAAUGGCUUCCACAUGCAAGGAAGGCAGCAGGCAUGCAAAUGACCCACUCCCGACACAGGAAAGUAGUGACGA